GACGUAGGGGGCCAGCGUUGCUCGGAAUUACUGGGCGUAAAGGGUUCGUAGGCGGUGUGGCAAGUCGGGAGUGAAAUCUCUGGGCUUAACUCAGAGGCUGCUUCCGAAACUGCCGUGCUAGAGUGCGGGAGAGGCGAGUGGAAUUGCAGGUUGAGCGGUGAAAUGCGUAGAUAUCAGGAGGAACACCGGUGGCGAAGGCGGUUCUCUGGGCAUUACCUGACGCUGAGGAGCGAAAGUGUGGGGAGCGAACAGG
rnacentral:rRNA from 1 species